GUGCAGGGCGGCGUGCUUACACAUGCAGUCGAACGAUGAAGGAGGAGCUUGCUCCUCCGGAUUAGUGGCGAACGGGUGAGUAACACGUGAGCAAUGUGCCCUUGACUCUGGAAUAAGCGCUGGAAACGGCGUCUAAUACCGGAUACGACCUUCGGAGGCAUCUCCUGGGGGUGGAAAGAAUUUCGGUCAAGGAUCAGCUCACGGCCUAUCAGUUAGUUGGUGAGGUAAUGGCUCACCAAGACGACGACGGGUAGCCGGCCUGAGAGGGUGACCGGCCACACUGGGACUGAGACACGGCCCAGACUCCUACGGGAGGCAGCAGUGGGGAAUAUUGCACAAUGGGCGCAAGCCUGAUGCAGCAACGCCGCGUGAGGGACGACGGCCUUCGGGUUGUAAACCUCUUUUAGCAGGGAAGAAGCGAAAGUGACGGUACCUGCAGAAAAAGCACCGGCUAACUACGUGCCAGCAGCCGCGGUAAUACGUAGGGUGCAAGCGUUGUCCGGAAUUAUUGGGCGUAAAGAGCUCGUAGGCGGUUUGUCACGUCUGCUGUGAAAUCCCGAGGCUCAACCUCGGGCUUGCAGUGGGUACGGGCAGACUAGAGUGCGGUAGGGGAGAUUGGAAUUCCUGGUGUAGCGGUGGAAUGCGCAGAUAUCAGGAGGAACACCGAUGGCGAAGGCAGAUCUCUGGGCCGUUACUGACGCUGAGGAGCGAAAGCAUGGGGAGCAAACAGGCUUAGAUACCCUGGUAGUCCAUGCCGUAAACGUUGGGAACUAGAUGUGGGGACCAUUCCACGGUGUCCGUGUCGUAGCUAACGCAUUAAGUUCCCCGCCUGGGGAGUACGGCCGCAAGGCUAAAACUCAAAGGAAUUGACGGGGGCCCGCACAAGCGGCGGAGCAUGCGGAUUAAUUCGAUGCAACGCGAAGAACCUUACCAAGGCUUGACAUAUACGAGAACGCGCUGGAGACAGCGAACUCUUUGGACACUCGUAUACAGUGGUGCAUGAUGUCGUCAGCUCGUGUCGUGAGAUGUUGGGUAAGUCCCGCACGAGCGCACCCUCGUCUAUGUGCAGCACGUAUGGUGGGACUCAUGGGAUACUGCCGGGGUCACCUUCGGAGAAGGUUGGGGAUGAGUUCAAAUCAUCC
rnacentral:rRNA from 1 species